UGAGGAAUAUUGGUCAAUGGACGAGAGUCUGAACCAGCCAAGUAGCGUGCAGGAUGACGGCCCUAUGGGUUGUAAACUGCUUUUAUAUGGGGAUAAAGUGGGGAACGUGUUCCCUUUUGCAGGUACCAUAUGAAUAAGGACCGGCUAAUUCCGUGCCAGCAGCCGCGGUAAUACGGAAGGUUCGGGCGUUAUCCGGAUUUAUUGGGUUUAAAGGGAGCGUAGGCCGUUUGGUAAGCGUGUUGUGAAAUGUAGGAGCUCAACUUCUAGAUUGCAGCGCGAACUGUCAGACUUGAGUGCGCACAACGUAGGCGGAAUUCAUGGUGUAGCGGUGAAAUGCUUAGAUAUCAUGAAGAACUCCGAUUGCGAAGGCAGCUUACGGGAGCGCAACUGACGCUGAAGCUCGAAGGUGCGGGUAUCGAACAGG
rnacentral:rRNA from 1 species